AUGGAAGAGGAUAUACAAGGAUAUACUGACAUAACAGACUUGAGCGCAAGUAAUAUUACAGUCUAAUGGAUGCAUUGGGAGGUAUGUUACAUUUAGUGUCAGCUAGCCAAACUUCCCAGUUUUUUAGAAAGCUGGUCUUAGAGUUCCUA